rnacentral:rRNA from 1 species
GACGAACGCUGGCGGCGUGCUUAACACAUGCAAGUCGAACGGUGAAAGAAGAGCUUGCUCUUCUGGAUCAGUGGCGAACGGGUGAGUAACACGUGAGUAACCUGCCCCAGACUCUGGAAUAAGCGCUGGAAACGGCGUCUAAUACCGGAUACGAGACAGACCUGCAUGGCUACUGUCUGGAAAGUUUUUCGGUCUGGGAUGGACUCGCGGCCUAUCAGCUUGUUGGUGAGGUAACGGCUCACCAAGGCAACGACGGGUAGCCGGCCUGAGAGGGCGACCGGCCACACUGGGACUGAGACACGGCCCAGACUCCUACGGGAGGCAGCAGUGGGGAAUAUUGCACAAUGGGCGAAAGCCUGAUGCAGCGACGCCGCGUGAGGGAUGACGGCCUUCGGGUUGUAAACCUCUUUCAGCAGGGAAGAAGCGAAAGUGACGGUACCUGCAGAAGAAGCACCGGCUAACUACGUG